rnacentral:rRNA from 1 species
GGCGAACGGGUGAGUAACGCGUUGGUGACCUACCCCAAAGUGGGGGAUAACAGAUCGAAAGGUCUGCUAAUACCUCAUGUUGUCAUCGUUUUUAGAAAGCGAUGAUUAAAGGAUUUAUCCGCUUUGGGAGGGGCCUGCGUCCCAUCAGCUAGUUGGUAGGGUAAUGGCCUACCAAGGCGUCGACGGGUAAGGGACCUGAGAGGGUGGCCCCUCACAAUGGAACUGAAGCACGGUCCAUACACCUACGGGUGGCAGCAGUAGGGAAUAUUGCACAAUGGGCGAAAGCCUGAUGCAGCAACGCCGCGUGUACGAUGAAGGCCUUCGGGUCGUAAAGUACUUUUCAGGGAGAUGAGAAAGGACAGUACCCCUGGAAUAAGUCUCGGCUAACUACGUGCCAGCAGCCGCGGUAAAACGUAGGAGGCGAGCGUUAUCCGGAUUUACUGGGUGUAAAGCGCGUGCAGGCGGUUUGAUAAGUUGGAUGUGAAAGCUCCUGGCUCAACCGGGAGAGGUCGUUCAAAACUAUCA